AUGGGCGAAAGCCUGAUGCAGCCAUGCCGCGUGUGUGAAGAAGGCCUUCGGGUUGUAAAGCACUUUCAGCGAGGAGGAAAGGUUAGCGGUUAAUACCCGCUAGCUGUGACGUUACUCGCAGAAGAAGCACCGGCUAACUCCGUGCCAGCAGCCGCGGUAAUACGGAGGGUGCGAGCGUUAAUCGGAAUUACUGGGCGUAAAGCGCAUGCAGGCGGCCAAGUCAGUCAGAUGUGAAAGCCCCGGGCUUAACCUGGGAAUUGCAUUUGAUACUGCUUGGCUAGAGUCCUUGAGAGGGGGGUAGAAUUUCAGGUGUAGCGGUGAAAUGCGUAGAGAUCUGAAGGAAUACCAGUGGCGAAGGCGGCCCCCUGGCAAGAGACUGACGCUCAGAUGCGAAAGCGUGGGGAGCAAACAGGAUUAGAUACCCUGGUAGUCCACGCCGUAAACGAUGUCUAUUAGGAGUCUGUGGCCUUGAGCUGUGGGUUCCAAAGCUAACGCAUUAAAUAGACCGCCUGG
rnacentral:rRNA from 1 species